rnacentral:rRNA from 1 species
AUACGUAGGGUGCGAGCGUUAAUCGGAAUUACUGGGCGUAAAGCGCACGUAGGCGGACUGGUCAGUUGGGGGUGAAAGCCCAAGGCUCAACCUUGGAACUGCCCUCAAUACUGCCAGUCUUGAGUCCGGGAGAGGUGAGUGGAAUUCCUAGUGUAGAGGUGAAAUUCGUAGAUAUUAGGAAGAACACCAGUGGCGAAGGCGGCUCACUGGCCCGGUACUGACGCUGAGGUGCGAAAGCGUGGGGAGCAAACAGGAUUAGAAACCCCAGUAGUCC